AAAAGCCUCAGCAACAUCCUCACAGUAGAGAUAACUACGAACAUUACAACCAUCCCCGUGAAUAGGAAGAGGCUUUCCCCUCAUGGCUAAAAGUAUAAACUUAGGGAUUAGUUUCUCAGGAAAUUGGUUAGGACCAUAGACAUUGUUACCUCUAGUGGUUAUAACAGGUAACCCAUAUGAUCUACCAUAAGCCAUAACAAGCAUUUCAGCCCCAGCUUUUGUGGCUGAAUAUGGGUUAGUGGGAAGGAGUUGUGAGGCUUCGUGGUUUCCUACAACAGCAUCCUCA
rnacentral:misc_RNA from 1 species